rnacentral:rRNA from 1 species
CAGCAGCCGCGGUAACACGUAGGUGGCAAGCGUUGUCCGGAAUUAUUGGGCGUAAAGCGCGCGCAGGUGGUUUAAUAAGUCUGAUGUGAAAGCCCACGGCUCAACCGUGGAGGGUCAUUGGAAACUGUUAAACUUGAGUGCAGGAGAGAAAAGUGGAAUUCCUAGUGUAGCGGUGAAAUGCGUAGAGAUUAGGAGGAACACCAGUGGCGAAGGCGGCUUUUUGGCCUGUAACUGACACUGUGGCGCGAAAGCGUGGGGAGCAAACAGGAUUAGAUACCCGUGUAGUCCCUGUCUCUUAUAC